GCAACAUUAGCUCAGUUGGUUAGAGCAUGGUGCUAAUAACGCCUAGUUCACAGGUUCAAUCCCUGCUUACUGCA
rnacentral:tRNA from 1 species